rnacentral:miRNA from 1 species
AUAUAUACUAGUCUAUAUGUGUGUGUGUGUGUGUAUGUGUAUAUAUAUACAUACACAUACACACACACACAUAGACUAGUAUAUAUA